AUAGCCGAGUGUAACCGGUACCGAGUGUAGCCGACAUUGGCCGCAUUUAGGCAAAGAGCCGAAUAUGACCGACUUUAGCCCAACCGGGCCGAAGUUCUGCCGAAGAGCCGGAAAAGCCGAAUUUAGACGAAAAGCCGAACCGAAACGAUUUUAGACCUAAGCCGAACCAAGCCUAAUUUAGCCGAGUUUAUUUAAACAGAACCGAACGACGCCGCAGCGCUCUGCCUGCACAGCGCCGGUGCAGACGGCAGGGGGCGGUGUAUAAAGGUGCUCAGAAAGCAUGCGUCCCUUAGAGUCCCACGGAAAGGUUCUCAGUGCGCUCUCUAUCAAGUGCUAUGAGUCUUGAUAAAUGGGAGAAGAGCCCAAGAGAAAUUUUUCAUCCCUUGAUAUAAAAGGGAUCGGUGAAUUUUAACUUUGGAGUCCUCUGUGCUAAGGAUGCUCAGCUUACCGAUGAUGAAAUGUUCAGUAAUGUAUUUGCUGCAGCUCUGCUUACCCAAGCUUUGGGUUCCUUCUGUCCCACUGGGAGUGGCCCAAUUUGGUUGCAUCUGGUGAAAUUCACCCUGAGACCUUACAGAACCAGCUCCAACUACGUGAGAGCCAUUUGCAGUUCUCUCCAGACA